GGCCUGAUGGUCUAGUAGUAUGAUUCCUUGUUAGGGUGCUAUGGCACAUUUCGAGGAGGUCCCGGGUUCAAUUCCCGGUCAGGCCC